rnacentral:lncRNA from 1 species
CCAGGUUCAAACCUGUUUUUCAGCUUGGGAGAUAGAAAUGCUGGCUUUUAUGCAUAUUUCACUCAUCCCAAGAGCUUGUUCCUUUACCAGUGAACGGCAAAUUCCCAAGUCCAAAGCAGUAACAAGGGGACUCAGUGGGACAGACCCAUGACAAAGACCCACAGGGCCCAGUUCUGCUUUCUGGUUCCUGUGUUUCUACCUCCACUCAGCAUUUACAACCAAUGGGCAGCAAAGAGAAGCAAGCCACGUUUUCCCUCAGUUCCUAGCUGAGAUCUGUGGUGAGAAGGUGACACAAUCUGGCCACAUCCUGUUCUCUACUUGUACCUAUGUAUUCUACAUUCCAGGAAUGCCAUGGCAACCUUUACAGCACAAUGCUAGAAUCAAAGAGUCAUAGAGCACCCCCCAUUGGAAGGGACCCUAAAGGAUCGUUGAGUCCAACUCCUGAAUCAAGUCCUACUCCUAAGAGAGCGUGUUCUGCCCAUUACAAGAUGGAGAUGACAUUGAAAUUGUCUCCUCCUCCAGCUAAACCUUAAUGAGCAGUCGAUACAAGCCCCAAAGUGGCUCUGAGCUCUAGCAACAGAGAGAUGCCAUAAAGCAAGGGUCUAAAUCCAGGCAAACAUGAAUUUUGCAACCAAAGGUGGGACUGGCAAAGCUGUUUUUUUCUUUGCGUCUUGCAUGGAGAAUGGAAGGCCUAGAUGGG